GGAUUGUGGCUCAGUGGUAGAGUGCUUGCCUCACAUGUGUGAGGCACUGGGUUCGAUUCCCAGCACCA
rnacentral:tRNA from 1 species